rnacentral:rRNA from 1 species
UACGAAGGGGGCUAGCGUUGCUCGGAAUCACUGGGCGUAAAGGGUGCGUAGGCGGGUCUUUAAGUCAGGGGUGAAAUCCGUGGAGCCUCAACUCCAGAACUGCCUUUGAUACUGAAGAUCUUGAGUUCGGGAGAGGUGAGUGGAACUGCGAGUGUAGAGGUGAAAUUCGUAGAUAUUCGCAAGAACACCAGUGGCGAAGGCGGCUCACUGGCCCGGUACUGACGCUGAGGUGCGAAAGCGGUGGGGAGCAAACAGG